rnacentral:rRNA from 1 species
UCGAAUGAGGCAAGACUACCCGCUGAACUUAAGCAUAUCACUAAGCGGAGGAAAAGAAACUAACCAGGAUUGUCUCAGUACCGGCGAGGGAAGCGGCAAGAGCCCAAGGUGGUAAUCUCCGGCCGGAGGUCGGCGAAUUGUAAUCUAAAGGGACGGAGCCUAACGGGCCGAGGCGCAGAAGUGGUCACGAGAGACCCGCCAGAGAGGGUGAAAGCCCCGUAUGUGGUGCCUUGGCCUACCGGGCUGCGGACUGAAGAGUCGAGUUGUUUUGUAUUGCAGCUCUAAGUGGGAGAUAAACUUCUCCUAAGGCUAAAUACGUGUGGGAAACCGAUAGCGAACAAGUACUGUGAAGGAAAGAUGAAAAGCACUUUGGAAAGAAAGUUAAAAGACUUGAAAUCGUUGAGGCGGACCCGGUAGAAAUGUAUUCUAGCGAAACUCCCUGGGAAGCCUGUACGCGGGUGUCUUGGGAGUUAGCCGAGGCAAGAUGGAGUCGCUCGAUGCUAAAGGCCGUGCAGGAGGUUCUUCGGAAAAGCCUGUGCAGGUUGAGUGUCGGGUGGCUUGAGGGGCUUAGAGCGAUCUUGUCAAAAUGGUUUUUACCGACUCGUCUUGAAACACGAACCAAGGAGUCUAAGACUAACGCGAGUAUGGUGGUGGAGAAACCAACAUGCGAAAUGAAAGUAAAUGAUGCCAAGACAACUGCAGCAUCGACCGACUUUUUUCUCUUGGAAGAGGUUUGAGUAAGAGCGUUAUUCUUAGGACCCGAAAGAUGGUGAACUAUGCCUGAUUAGGGUGAAGUCAGGGGAAACUCUGAUGGAAGCUCGUAGCGAUACUGACGUGCAAAUCGUUCGUCGAACCUGGGUAUAGGGGCGAAAGACUAAUCGAACCAUCUAGUAGCUGGUUCCCUCCGAAGUUUCCCACAGGAUAGCUUGAACGCAACGGUUUUGUCAGGUAAAGCGAAUGAUUAGAGGCCUUGGGGCUGAAACAGCCUUAACCUAUUCUCAAACUUUAAAUGGGCAAGAGGUCCGGGAUGCUUGAGUGAUCCCGGGCGGCGAACGGCGCGUUCAAAGUGGGCCAUUUUUGGUAAGCAGAACUGGCGAUGCGGGAUGAACCGAACGCCGCGCUAAGGUACCCAAGUGUCCGCUCAUCAGAGACCACAAAAGGCGUUGGUACCUCCAGACAGCAGGACGGUGGCCAUGGAAGUCGGAAUCCGCUAAGGAGUGUGUUACAACUCACCUGCCGAAUGAACUAGUCCCGAAAAUGGAUGGCGCUCAAGCGUGUGACCGAUACCCGACCAUUGGCGCGAGAGUUAGGCGUCAAUGAGUAGGAGGGCGUGGGCGUCGUUGUGAAGCCUCUGGCGUGAGCCUGGGUAGAACGGCGUCUAGUGCAGAUCUUGGUGGUAGUAGCAAUUAUUCAAGUGAGAAUCUUGAAGGCCGACGUGGAGAAGGUUUCCGUGAGAACAGCAAUUGGUCACGGGUGACUCGAUCCUAAGACAUGGGGGAAAUCCUUGUUAAG